AGGGGUGAAAGGCCAAUCAAACUCGGAAAUAGCUCGUACUCCCCGAAAUGCUUUUAGGAGCAGCGUAUAGUUAAGUGUAUAAGAGGUAGAGCUACUGGUUGGGCUAGGGGGAGUCACAUCCUACCAAACCCUAUCAAACUCCGAAUGCUUAUACAUGUUUCUAUGCAGUGAGGGUAUGGGUGCUAAGGUCCAUAUCCAAAAGGGAAAGAACCCAGAGCAUCAGCUAAGGUCCCCAAGUGUAUACUAAGUUGAGAAAAUGUGGUGUGAUUGCUUAGACAGCCAGGAUGUUGGCUUGGAAGCAGCCAUUCAUUUAAAGAGUGCGUAACAGCUCACUGGUCGAGCGAUCGCGCGCAGAUAAUGAUCGGGCAUCAAGUAUACCACCGAAGCUAUGCCUUGUACUUUGUACAGGGGUAGGGGAGCAUUCCAAUGGCGGCGAAGU
rnacentral:rRNA from 12 species